CGGAGGGGGCUAGCGUUGUUCGGAAUUACUGGGGCGUAAAAGCGCACGUAGGCGGACCGGAAAAGUCAGAGGUGAAAUCCCAGGGGCUCAAACCUUGGGAACUGCCUUUUGAAAACUAUCGGUCUGGAGUUCGAGAGAGGUGAGUGGAAUUCCGAGUGUAGAGGUGAAAUUCGUAGAUAUUCGGAGGAACACCAGUGGCGAAGGCGGCUCACUGGCUCGAUACUGACGCUGAGGUGCGAAAGCGUGGGGAGCAAACAGGAUU
rnacentral:rRNA from 1 species